rnacentral:rRNA from 1 species
CCCUUAGAUGUUCUGGGCCGCACGCGUGCUACACUGAGUGGAUCAGCGGGUCAGGUUGCGCGAAAGUGUUUCCUAAUCUUGAAAUCCGCUCGUGAUGGGGAUUGACGGUUGCAAUUUUCCGUCAUGAACGAGGAAUACCUUGUAAGCGCGGGUCAUCAUCCCGCGCUGAAUACGUCCCUGCCCUUUGUACACACCGCCCGUCGCUCCUACCGAUUGAGUGGUCCGGUGAGGCUUUGGGAUCUGAGCAAAGAGAGCGUUUCACUCGUUUUGCCCGGAAAACUCAGUCGAACCUUAUCAUUUAGAGGAAGGAGAAGUCGUAACA